GACGAACGCUGGCGGCGUGCUUAACACAUGCAAGUCGAACGGAAAGGCCCUGCUUUUGUGGGGUGCUCGAGUGGCGAACGGGUGAGUAACACGUGAGUAACCUGCCCUUGACUUUGGGAUAACUUCAGGAAACUGGGGUUAAUACCGGAUAGGAGCUCCUGCUGCAUGGUGGGGGUUGGAAAGUUUCGGGGGUUGGGGAUGGACUGGCGGCUUUUCAGCUUGUUGGUGGGGUAGUGGCUUACCAAGGCUUUGACGGGUAGCCGGCCUGAGGGGGGGACCGGCCACAUGGGGCCUGGAAUCGGGCCAGAACUCCUCGGGGGGCAAGAGGUGGGGAAUAUGGAACAAUGGGCGGAGGCCUAAGGAGGCAACGCGGGGUGCGGAAGACCGGCCUUCGGUUGGAAAACGGCUUCCGCCGGUGAGGAGGCGGGAGUGACGGUAAUGGGAGAAGAAGCACCGGCUAACUACGUG
rnacentral:rRNA from 1 species